GAAAACGCUGGAAGGAGAGAAGACUCUUUACCCUGGAUCCUGCGAUUAUGGGCUCAUUGUUUUAACGAAGGUCCAUAAAUCUUGGUCAUCCAGUGGAGAUGGAAGCUCUGCCUCCCUAACCCCCCCCCCACACAAUGGGAAUCAAAUUCAGGACCGUGUGCUUACAAGGCAGAUGCAGCGCCACUAGGCUAAAUCCCUGGCCCAG
rnacentral:lncRNA from 1 species